GAUGAACGCUAGCGGCAGGCUUAAUACAUGCAAGUCGUGGGGCAGCAUGGGUAGCAAUACCUGAUGGCGACCGGCAAACGGGUGCGGAACACGUACGCAACCUUCCUUUAAGUGAGGAAUAGCCCAGGGAAACUUGGAUUAAUACCUCGUAACAUUAUGGAGUGGCAUCACUUUAUAAUUAUAGCUCAGGCGCUUAAAGAUGGGCGUGACGGCUGAUUAGGUAGUUGGCGGGGUAACGGCCCACCAAGCCUACGAUCAGUAACUGGUGUGAGAGCACGACCAGUCACACGGGCACUGAGACACGGGCCCGACUCCUACGGGAGGCAGCAGUAAGGAAUAUUGGUCAAYGGACGCAAGUCUGAACCAGCCAUGCCGCGUGGAGGAUGAAGGCCCUCUGGGUUGUAAACUUCUUUUAG
rnacentral:rRNA from 1 species